AUAGACGGGAGAAAUUAACGUUUUUUGUUGUCAAUAGUUAAAUCCAGCAUGAAGAUAUGAACCUUUGAUCUAACUUGCUACAUUGGAUAGAAACGGGUUUGCGGCAAAUAAGCAUCAAAGGCAAGAAUUAAUUGGUAUCAUGGACAUAGAUAAGAAAAGACCAUCCUUGGUUUUAAUACAGUGAAUUUCCUAUUUGAUGUUAUUGGAUUUAGGGCUUAGGCUGUUGCUAUGGCAGAAGAGGACCUUCUUAUGCGCUGAAAUCCCUUUAGGAUUUUGAAGUAGGACUGUUAGUAAUCAUCCUUCCGCAAGACAUACACCCAUCAAUAAAUCGACAUUUGUAUUAUGCUGUUGCGUAGCAAAGGUUUUGCCUUUUUUGCAUAAUCCAUCAACACAGCGAGAGUAUUUAUUAAUAUCAAUAUAUUUGAAAUAGCAGCACCCCCACAUCGAAGGGAUUAUCAAACAAGAAAUCUUCGAAGUGCAGUAUCUGCAUUACGUAUUUCAUGCAUUGUCCACGGCAUUCGGGCGUUUUGAUAUCUUCGACUCUCGAGCUAACGAUCGUUUCCAAGGCUCAGUUUUUCAAGUUAAUGGUUAAAGAGAACAGUUCGAAGAUAUCUACUAACAGACAAUGAGACAGUUAAAAGAAUGUAAUGGUGGAUUACCUUCAUAACAAUAUUACAUCUAUUUCGCUAUUGUACGAGUUGUUUAGCUGAGACCAAAGAUACCUGGCCCUGCUUGUCAAUCAAAGCCACUGUUGUCACAAAAGUUCAGUCAUGGUGCUGGUAGCCUAUUGAAUUGAAAGAAAAGAGUUUCAAAAAAUUUAUAUUUUCUCAGAUUACAUUGUAGUUCGGGAUGAUUUAAACCUCAAACACGAAAAGAAGACUUCCCUGGCAUUAUGUCAAUAUGAUCAAAAAACUUUGUAGCCAUCUUCAAGCCUUUUUGCCACAAGAACUAUUUCAGCUCGAGAAAGUGAAAUAAGUAGAUCACACAAAGGGUCGCGAGCUACAGAUAGAAGUCAUCGGCUCAAGAAAUACUUCGUCAAUUUACCAAAAAUCAAGUUGCAAUGCAUGAUGGACUUUAUCAUAAGGCUCCUUUUUAAUUACAGCUGUUGGCUGAAAGUUUACAUUGUAGCGACGGAGGCAUUGCUGCAAUCUUAUCGCUGUGCAGGAGUUUAAACAAUGAGGAUAACGCAGUUGAGGAUUUUUGCCAUUGUAUUAACUAUGCUUGGCACACUACUAACAAUCGUUGCUUUUUCGACCAAUGAUUGGUAUGGCAUCUCAACGUAUUCACAGUUCCAAACUAAGUCAGUUGAUUUUUCCUAUGGAUUGUUUUAUUAUUGCGCCGAUGGAGAUUGCUCUACAAUUAAGACGAAAGAAAGUUGGAGAAAAGCAGUGAUUGGAUUAAUGGCUGCGGCCGUCAUCCUCGGAUGCUUGUCGAUUGUCAUCAUCUUGUCUGUCAUUUUCUGCAACAAAAAGUUCAAGCAUACGAGCAUACUGAUGUUAUUAUCAGCGUUUCUGCAACUCGCCACAUUAAUAAUCUUUCCACUUAAGAUGAAUCUUUCGAGGGAAAGUAGCUUGGGCAUCUCGUAUUACGUCGCUUGUGUUGGUUUGAUAGUGUCUGCUGGAGCUGGCAUAAUUGCAUUUGCUUCGAAAGAAGAGCAAGUUGCACCAUUCCAUGACAUAUCAUCCUGAUCAAUGCUGCUUACAGAAGUGGUCAGAAGUAAAUCAAGUAAAGGCAUGUGAAAUAAAGAGAGUUUCCCUUCUUUGUUCUUAUUUGUCCCAUUACAAUAAAUACUAACUAUGAAUUUCAUGAUAUAAAUAUGGACGAAUGACGAUUCAAAAUAGUCUCCAUAGUAUAUGAUAGUAUACGUCAGUUUGACGCAAAAGAAAAUUUGUCGUGCGGAUUUUCAUGGGAAGAGACAGAGGAAUACAGAAUCUAUAAGUGAACUUGAGGAUCUAAGGUCCCAUUUUGCUAACUAGAUCUUUUGUAGUUUUCCUUGUUCAAGUGAAAUCUGUCAAGCGAUUGUCAUCGAUUAAAUCGUAUGCUUUUGAAACUUGUAAAACGUUUGGUCUAUUUUACAUAAGUUUAAAACACAAGUUUUAUAGUUCUAUUAGUUACAGUUGGCCGAAACCCUUAUUCUCCUUACCUUAUCGCGUAAAGAUAAGCGUUGCAUUAUCGCUAAAUCUGUUUGAGGCCGCCCAAUAAAGUUCCAGCAUGUGUGGAUUCGACCAGAACAGAACGGAUCCAAAUCAAAACAGUGAGAAUCGCAACAUCUAUUGCAAAAAGAACGAAUGUACCCUGGGUACCAGGGCCAUAGAAAUUCGAGCGCGUAAACAGAAUACUAAGCAGAGAAGCGGAGGAGUGCUCCACUCCUAUCUUCUAUCUCCGUUCUUGAAUUUAUGUGGCUCUGGUACCUAAGGCAGAUCGAAUGAAGCAAGCAUACAUCAUUUCCAGAAGUAUGCAAAUAAGCAAAGAUUCAACAGUAUUUUAUUCUUUCGACCUCGUGUGCACUCAGUGUAUGACCUCGAUUUAGAUUUAUCUUUUAUCUGUCAAGUUUUAACAUGACAUCAAUUCGAAUGGCGCCAGAUCUGUAUAUAUUAAACGACUGUAAAGUUCAUGAUCAAACUAAAUAAUUUAUCCCCUUCUUACCAAGGUGCGAUAGAAGCUAUAAAAAUCUUGUAGAACUCCUCUGAUGAUAAUCUAUUGACGGUUAUCUCAACGGACAUCUAAUAAAAACAUCGCAUUUAAUGCGAGACGUAGUAUCAAUCUUAAACUUAAGACAUAUGCAUUUUGCGCAUUUUCACGCUGCGCAUAUCAAACGAUUUUCACGUUGCGCAUAUCAAACGACAGUUAACAAAAAAUUUGAAAUACCAGGGCCACUGGGACAAAGAGCUCUUGCCUUUAUCUAACGUUAGCUAUAUGUAGCUGGCUUGAAGAAUAAACAUCUUUAAAACACAGAAGUGUUUGCAUAAAUUGAAAAAUAUGGAUUCAGGAAUAUGAAAACUGUAUAGGUAAAAGAUAAAUCGAAUGAAGAAGACCAUCCAGAUUUUAAAAUACAUGUCUCAUUUUGUUUUUAAAUUUUACAUCUAUUUGGGCAAGUUUUGCUUUGGGAUGCUGCAAUCAUAUUCAUUCUAAUAAGGUCAAUAUAGUGUUUAUCUUGAUAAAUGUUCUAUCUUAAUAAAUGUUCUAUUUGUAGUAAUGUAGAGUCUAGGCAUAGAAUUUUAUGACAAAGUUUUGGAUGUAAAUAUUCUUUGUAAUAUUUUAAAAUUAUUUAGAGAAUAGAAAUUACAAAGCAUGAUUUGAAUAAUUUAGCCGGAUUUCUCAUUCGUGUUACUAAGACUUCUUUUUAGAAUUUAGUCAUUAAAAAUCUAUUGCAUUCGAACUUUUGACUGAUCUGCUCUAAGUCAAAUUGAAGACGCCAUAGGAACUUUUCGAGAAACAUGACAUCAGAAAUAUUUUUGGAAAGGAAAUUAACCAAGUGAUAUGGAUUCUAUUUACCCAUGUCAAUAAGUGAAAUACCACUUUCUCUCUUUUCACCGCGAAACUAUCUCCCUCGAACUACAAUCCCCAUCCAAACGCUGAUAUAAGCGACUUUUUCCUCGGGGUUCCUCGAGGGUAAUAAACACGGACAACCACGAUAGCCUCGUAUUGAUUUUCGCGGGAAAUUGACAAACUUCUAGAUCCAGAUCUCUGCCCCCAUAAAGAAGGAUCACAGAAGACUGCGUCCCACGAGUUGUCAGAUGACAAUGUUUGAAGACAGCUUCUUGAACUUGUAGAAACCCUGAAAGAGUCAUAAUUAUGCUCUGGUCGGAAGCAACAGAAAAUGUCAGGAUUCUAUUUGAAUGAAGAUGGCAAGUGUCUUUUUAACUUUGACAAGAAAGUUACAGCUAGGAUGUUAGACAUGACAGGAGAUGUGGAGAGAUCUACUUAAUAAUCUCCAGCUCAGCAGCGACGAAUUUCCAUGGAAAGACUGACUAAAGCAGGCACCAGAAAUUGCACAUAUAUAAGAAAAAUACGUCACUGACUACGCUGAUACUUAUGAGAAAGAUUUAAGAAAAGCAAGCUGUAAUCGCAAAUUUACAUGUUGCCAGAGCAGGCCUACUUAUUGCUACAUUUGGGUAUGCAAUCGUCAUGAUGCUUCUGUACUUUGUCGAGAAACACGCGAUGAAAAAUUUUCGAAUCCCAGCCUUUGCCUGCUUUCUGCCAUUUUCCAGUACGUUGGUUGCAAUGGCUGCUUUCACGGCUGGUGUAUACAAAAAUGCUGUGGUGAAGACAAUUUCUUUUUCUUGGUCGUAUUAUUUCGGAUGGACCUCUUUAGUGCUUUUAGUUGCUGCUAUAAUGAUUGGAAUAGGGGAAAGGCAGAGAAUACACGCUGUUGCCGUCAGCUGAUAAAUCGUUAAUACGAUGUUUGAUGUCAUUAGGAAGUUUAAAUUAAUUUAUUCAUAUAGAAAAUUUAAUGAUAUUAUUCAAUGUGCAAACGUUUUUUAAUGUUAUGUCUAUUUAUGUUGUGCUGUGUCAGGCAUCUGUGAGAACUGAAAGAAGUUCUGUUCUUUGUAAAACCAACUCUAUUGACAACGAGCAAUACCAUUGUUUAUAAAAAUGAAAUUUAAUGACAGUGACCCCAAAUGCUGUUAGGGAUGAAUGCUAUUAAAAAUUUCUUUUCUUUUCCACAGAGGACUUUUUCACAAAAGGUAGCAAUGCGAUAUUUGUCUGCCCCCCUGCCCCCCUUCCCUCUCUUCCCUGAUUGACUAAGGUAUUUCUCGAAGGUGAAAGAAGUUGCUUCAGAUGACUCAUCUAACAUUAUUGUCUUUAAACGAGUUUAGGUCUUUUGGUUGGUGUUCCAAAAAGUCCACUUGUGCUAUAAAUUGGAAGACUAAUUGUUUCAACCAUUGUUUCAACAAGUGCGUUUUAGAGGUUCCUCAAUUUUAUGGUAAUGCACACCCCCGUCCUCUGCCCGGGGGAGGAAGAGAAAGGGAAAUAUUGGCAUUUCUAAGAGUUCCAUCAUCCAUAGCAUUCAAUCUUCAAAGUACCAAUGAUCUCAAUCUAGCAUUGUUGGAAGUUUUCUAUAUCUUGCAGAAUUUUGGUGCAAGUUCAUUAUCUUCAAUGCAUAGAGUAUCAUAUUCUUCAAUAUAGAGAAGUAAUGACACACACACAACCCAAUACUUCUCUCUCAUUACAUAUUAACCCUCAUAGUGUUGCACAGAGCCUACGACGUGAAUUUGAAAGUGGGGGGGGGGGGCAAAGCUUCUUUCCCCUUUUACUGCAGCUUUAAAACUAUUUGCUUCGCAAAAAAGGUGGGGAGGACCAUGGCCACCCCGGCCCUGCGGGUGGUGUGGGCCCUGUUGCCACCUUCUAUAAAGACCUCUCUUGCUCUAAUUACACGUUUGGGUGUUUUCUUCCCUGCUCCUAAAAAUUCUUAAAGGCUUCUGUUUUAACCCAUUCCAAAUCCAAAAAUUAAAUGUUCCUUGUACCCCUAUACAUAACCAGUCGUGGUCUCAGGGCUCAAUAAGAUAUUUUUUCAGACAAUCAAGCCACGAAAAUAUCCAGUCUAAUCCGUGUCUAACAGAAAGUUCCGGAGAAUGUUAUGUAUACUCCAAACUUCUAACAAAGAUAGGUGAUUUUGCAAUGUAACCCAGAAGAAGAUUUUUUAUCUAAAUUAUUUUAUUUUAAUUUCGUGCUGUUUAGAAAUGUUUUUGCAUUAUCAAGAUCUCUUAAGAUCGUGUAAUCAUUCCCAUAAUUCUGUAGUCAAGCAUAUUCAACCUUUAGCAUAUUUGCGAUGCAUAGAAUUGGAAAGACGCUUUUGAUGUAUAGAACAGAACGGUUCUAAGAGGUGACUACACGUUCUUUUUAUAAGAAAAUUUCUUUCAGCCCAGCCCUCAGAUUUUCAUAGCUAUUUUCUUAUUUCAGCCAUAAAAAUUUUUUAAACACUUUCUUAACGAAAAAUUGGACAGUUUUACAUUACUAAGCAUGCGCAGUGAUGGAGAAGAUGAAAUGCUAUAAAUAUGCUAUAUUUCUCAAAAAACCCCAACGUCAUACUGUAUUUAUCUUUUUGAAUAACCGAGCAAAACUUUCUUAUAAAAAAAACGUGUACGAGUUUCACGCUUAAUGCGACCAACAGGCAACUGUUCCAUCCCUAAUUGAAUAUAGAAAAAACCUCCGUUUGGAUUCAUUGAAAAUCGCCAAUACUGAAGAAGCUUUGAAGGCUAUUCUUUGAGUUGAAUCCCUUCUUCCCCCUGAGCUAUAUCCUCUGACAGGUACUCCAAUGUAAUUAUUUCAAUGACUGCAAGCUCAUGAAACUUUAAAUAGUAAUCGUUUUAUGUCCAGUUAAGCGAAUCUGUUGCAGUAUACUGUUGCAGUGUACUGUUGCAGCUUCUGUUAAAGGUUACUGAAACCAGUUCUCUCCAGAUUUCUUGACGUUUCCUCGUUCACAAAGCCAGGCGUAUUGUGGUUUUCAUUUGCGGCUUCGCCUGUCCCCGAGACAAUCAAACUAAGGCUGGCGGCUACACAAGAAUAAGCAAACAAGAUUCAGCACUUUUGAAAUCAAGAUGGCCUUCACCAAACUUGAGUUGGUGAGCAUUCUUCUCAUCGGGGUAGCGACAAUCUUUAUGAUCGUUGGUGUCAGUACAAACUAUUGGAUUCAAACACAGGAUGCAGAGGGGAUUGUACAGAGCAGCACCGGAUUGUGGAAAACUUGUACCUACAACGAAAAGGGAGAAGCGACUUGUUCGUCACUGACCAGUCAAAAGAACACGGGUGAUGGCGUUUUCAUGGAAUGGGCAGAUUGGCUGUAUGUCCAGAAGACAGUUGCUUUCAUGUCAAUCAUUCUAGGCGUCAUAUUGCUCUUUGCCUUCUUUGUUUACCGAUGUUCUGAUGGCAAAUGUGCAAGGUUCAUCCAAGCUGGUUUGAUCCUAAUGACUACCACAAGUUUCCUAGCGUUUGGUCUGUUUGUGGUUCAUAUGCCUACAGCGCCACCAUCUUUAGUUCGAGGUUAUUCUUUCGUGUUAUUCACGACAGGUAGUUGCAUGACAUUAAUUGCAACGUGCCUAACAAUGUUCAAAAUUUGCAUGCCUGAAAAGGACUCGAAAACAGGAAGAGCAAGACAACCACAGAGAGUCUGAGGAUUGUAGAUUUGGAAAGGCCUGCAAUACAAAAAAAUGUUGCAAAGUUUCUAGCUGGUGGUGUAAUUCUCUUUAAAAGAGCGAUGAAAUUUUUUUUGAUGAUCGUAGAAAUUAAACAGAACACUCCAAGGUAGAUUCACAUGAUGAAAUGAAGUUGUUAGCCUACUACUGGUGCAAGGUGUAAAUUUUUGACUUUGUGAUAGCAGAUUGCAUGUCACCUUUACGUAAACAGUUUACAAAAUAUUUUAUACCUCUAUCGUCAAGAGUCUUUCUUUUUUGCAUAAGCUGCUAUGCAUAAGCAAAGAAACCAGUCUAUCAUAAUACCAUUUAAUUGCUGUCAUCGGUUUUCAUGUUUUCUGUACAUCUUCAUAUUUAACACUGAAGCCCUGUAUUUAAUCUUUAGGAAUGAUGGCUACUUCUUUGUGUUUGUUUGCUCAGAAUUAAACAUUUUUCUUCAUUAUGCUUCUAUAGUCAUGCAUUUAGAAAAUGUUGAUAUAAUUCUUUUAUUAAGUGUUAAUCAGUGAUUUUGCCUUGUAAAUCUGGUCUUUGUAGUAAUGGAAAUAGAUGUUUGUUACGGCUAAUGUAAAUUUGAAGGUUUUUUAUUAGACCAACUAAAACAUCA